AAGUCCCGCAACGAGCGCAACCCUUAUCCUUUGUUGCCAGCGGUUCGGCCGGGAACUCAAAGGAGACUGCCAGUGAUAAACUGGAGGAAGGUGGGGAUGACGUCAAGUCAUCAUGGCCCUUACGAGUAGGGCUACACACGUGCUACAAUGGCGUAUACAAAGAGAAGCGACCUCGCGAGAGCAAGCGGACCUCAUAAAGUACGUCGUAGUCCGGAUUGGAGUCUGCAACUCGACUCCAUGAAGUCGGAAUCGCUAGUAAUCGUAGAUCAGAAUGCUACGGUGAAUACGUUCCCGGGCCUUGUACACACCGCCCGUCACACCAUGGGAGUGGGUUGCAAAAGAAGUAGGUAGCUAAC
rnacentral:rRNA from 1 species